rnacentral:rRNA from 1 species
GUGAAGCCUGCGGUUCAAUUGGAGUCAACGCCAGAAAUCUUACCCGGAGAGACAGCAGAAUGAAGGUCAAGCUGAAGACUUUACCAGACAAGCUGAGAGGUGGUGCAUGGCCGUCGCCAGCUCGUGCCGUGAGAUGUCCUGUUAAGUCAGGUAACGAGCGAGAUCCCUGCCUCUAGUUGCCACCAUUACUCUCAGGAGUAGUGGGGCGAAUUAGCGGGACCGCCGCAGUUAAUGCGGAGGAAGGAAGGGGCCACGGCAGGUCAGUAUGCCCCGAAACUCUGGGGCCACACGCGGGCUGCAAUGGUAACGACAAUUGGUUUCGAAUCCGAAAGGAUGAGGUAAUCCUCAAACGUUACCACAGUUAUGACUGAGGGCUGCAACUCGCCCUCACGAAUAUGGAAUCCCUAGUAACUGC